rnacentral:rRNA from 1 species
AUUGAACGCUGACGGCAGGCCUAACACAUGCAAGUCGAACGCGUGGCGGACGGGUGAGUAAUGUCUGGGAAACUGCCUGAUGGAGGGGGAUAACUCCUGGAAACGGUAGCUAAUACCGCAUACCAUCAGAUGUGCCCCGAUGGGAUUGGCUUGUUGGUGGGGUAACGGCCCACCAAGGCGACGAUCCCUAGCUGGUCUGAGAGGAUGACCCGCCAGAUGGGAACUGAGACACGGUCCAGACUCCUACGUGAGGCAGCAGUGGGGAAUAUUGCACAAUGGGCGCAAGCCUGAUGCAGCCAUGCCGCGUGUAUGAAGAAGGCCGUCGGGUUGUAAAGUACUUUCAGCGGGGAGGCGUUACCCGCAGAAGAAGCACCGGCUAACUCCGUGCCAGCAGCCGCGGUAAUUC